rnacentral:rRNA from 1 species
UACAGAGGUCCCAAGCGUUGUCCGGAAUUAUUGGGCGUAAAGAGCUCGUAGGCGGUUUGUCGCGUCUGCUGUGAAAACCCGAGGCUCAACCUCGGCCUGCAGUGGGUACGGGCAGACUAGAGUGCGGUAGGGGAGAUUGGAAUUCCUGGUGUAGCGGUGGAAUGCGCAGAUAUCAGGAGGAACACCAAUGGCGAAGGCAGAUCUCUGGCCGUAACUGACGCUGAGGAGCGAAAGCAUGGGGAGCGAACAGG